rnacentral:rRNA from 1 species
GACGGAAGGUGCAAGCGUUGCUCGGAAUCACUGGGCGUAAAGGGUGCGUAGGCGGCUUGGUGGGUCUGGUGUGAAAGCCCCGGGCUCAGCCCGGGAAGGGCACUAGAAACUGCCGAGCUGGAGUGCCGGAGGGGAGAGUGGAAUUCCUGGUGUAGCGGUGAAAUUCGUAGAUAUUCGCAAGAACACCAGUGGCGAAGGCGGCUCACUGGCCCGAUACUGACGCUGAGGUGCGAAAGCGUGGGGAGCAAACAGG